GCCCCCAUAGCUCAGGGGAUAGAGCGUUGCCCUCCGGAGGCAGAGGCGCAGGUUCGAAUCCUGCUGGGGGUAUCA
rnacentral:tRNA from 1 species